rnacentral:lncRNA from 1 species
UUCCACGAGAGCCAAGUUUUUACCGCAAGAACUCUAGCUUCAUCUCCUGCAGAUAAAAACAUACUACAGUGUUUUAACACAUUCAAGGCAUGGAUGCGACUGAUAGCUUGUGUAUAAAGAAGAAAUGCUUCGGCAUUUUAGAUCUCUUCUGAGUGUUCAUUCCUAUUUUCAGUUCUAUGAAUUUGUACUUUAAUUAGUUGUGAGUUGCAAGGAAUAAAUGGAAUUGUAUUCUAAUUGAGUUUCUUUUCAUUCAAAGAAAGAAUUAAC